GUGCUCACUUUGGCAGCACAUAUACUAAAAUUGGAACAACACAGAGAAGAUUAGUAUGGCUCCUGUACAGAGAUGAUAGGCAAAUUUGUGAAGCAUUCGAAUUGUUA